GACGAACGCUGGCGGCGUGCUUAACACAUGCAAGUCGAACGGAAAGGCCCUGCUUUUGUGGGGUGCUCGAGUGGCGAACGGGUGAGUAACACGUGAGUAAACUGCCCCUGACUUUGGGAUAUCUUCAGGAAACUGGGGCUAAUACCGGAUAGGAUCUCCUGCUGCACGGUGGGGGUUGGAAAGUUUCGGCGGUUGGGGAUGGACUCGCGGCUUAUCCGCUUGUUGGUGGGGUAGUGGCUUACGAAGGCUUCGACGGGUAGCCGGCCUGAGAGGGUGACCGGCCACAUUAGGACUGAGAGACGGCCCAGACGCCUACGGGAGGCAGCAGUGGGGAAUAUUGCACAAUGGGCGGAAGCCUGAUGCAGCAACGCCGCGUGCGGGAUGACGGCCUUCGGGUUGUAAACCGCUUUCGCCUGUGACGAAGCGUGAGUGACGGUAAUGGGUAAAGAAGCACCGGCUAACUACGUG
rnacentral:rRNA from 1 species